rnacentral:lncRNA from 1 species
UACAUGAUAUGAACAUGAAAAAAAAUUUCUAUGUAGCAUUUUUUAUUUUUUUUAUUUUCAAAGAUCAGCUGUUUUGCAUGUAAGCCUAUGGAGCAGUCAAUUACAAGACUGCAACCUGCCAGGCCUGGGGUAAUGGUAAUUUGUAAUUGUAAUGCAUUGUAAUAUUACAUUUUUUGGAUGUAAUGCAAAGUAAUUUGUAAUACACAUUUUCUGCAUUACAAUUACAUGUAAUGUAAUGAUUACUUUAGUUAAAAAUUGAUGUAAUGCCUCCAUUACAGUACAUUACUUUUCAUUACAAA